rnacentral:rRNA from 1 species
GUGCCAGCAGCCUCGGUAACUCCAGCUCCAAUAGCGUAUAUUAAAGUUGUUGUGGUUAAAAAGCUCGUAGUUGAACCUUGGGCCUGGCUGGCCGGUCCGCCUCACCGCGUGCACUGGUCCGGCCGGGCCUUUCCCUCUGUGGAACCCCAUACCCUUCACUGGGCGUGGCGGGGAAACAGGACAUUUACUUUGAAAAAAUUAGAGUGCUCCAGGCAGGCCUAUGCUCGAAUACAUUAGCAUGGAAUAAUAAAAUAGGACGCGCGGUUCUAUUUUGUUGGUUUAUAGGACCGCCGUAAUGAUUAAUAGGGACAGUCGGGGGCAUCAGUAUUCAACUGUCAGAGGCAAAAUUCUUGGAUCAGUUGAAGACUAACUACUGCGAAAGCAUUUGCCAAGGAUGUUUUCAUUAAUCAGGAACGAAAGUUAGGGGAUCGAAGACGAUCAGAUACCGUCGUAGUCUUAACCAUAAACUAUGCCGACUAGGGAUCGGACGGUGUUAUUCAUGACCCGUUCGGCACCUUACGAGAAAUCAAAGUGCUUGGGCUCCAGGGGGAGUAUGGUCGCAAGGCUGAAACUUAAAGAAAUUGACGGAAGGGCACCACCAGGGGUGGAGCCUGCGGCUUAAUUUGACUCAACACGGGGAAACUCACCAGGUCCAGACACAAUAAGGAUUGACAGAUUGAGAGCUCUUUCUUGAUUUUGUGGUGGUGGUGCAUGGCCGUUCUUAGUUGGUGGGGUGACUUGUCUGCUUAAUUGCGAUAACGAACGAGACCUUAACCUGCUAAAUAGCCCGCAUUGC